rnacentral:rRNA from 1 species
UACGUAGGGGGCAAGCGUUGUCCGGAAUCAUUGGGCGUAAAGCGCGUGUAGGCGGCUCGGUAAGUCUGCUGUGAAAGUCCAGGGCUCAACCCUGGGAUGCCGGUGGAUACUGUCGAGCUCGAGUCCGGAAGAGGCGAGUGGAAUUCCCGGUGUAGUGGUGAAAUGCGUAGAUAUCGGGAGGAACACCAGUGGCGAAGGCGACUACCUGGCCUGUUCUUGACGCUGAGGCGCGAAAGCUAGGGGAGCAAACGGG